GACAGAGGGUGCAAACGUUGCUCGGAAUCACUGGGCGUAAAGGGCGUGUAGGCGGGUAGGCAAGUCGGGCGUGAAAUCCCUGAGCUCAACUCAGGAACUGCACUCGAAACUGCUUAUCUUGAGUGCCGGAGAGGAAAGCGGAAUACCUGGUGUAGAGGUGAAAUUCGUAGAUAUCAGGUGGAACACCAGUGGCGAAGGCGGCUUUCUGGACGGUACUGACGCUGAGACGCGAAAGCGUGGGGAGCGAACAGG
rnacentral:rRNA from 1 species